CAUCUAUCCCAGAAGAAAUUGUCUGCGGACAAGAAGUAAGAGUAGAGCGACAGCAAAUGAAGCAUAUAGGUACCUUAGCAAGCAUCCACACUUGUGCAAGGUUUGCCCAAUUGAACUCCAUCUUCAAGAGCGUAGAGUUGAACCGUUUAGCUUCCCCUCGGUGUCUCGCCCAUUCGUAUGGACCCUGUAAUAGAGAGUAAAUCUUUG
rnacentral:lncRNA from 1 species